GAUGAACGCUGACAGAAUGCUUAACACAUGCAAGUCUUUGGCGAAGCUGUGCUUGCACCGCCUAGCCAAGGCGGACGGGUGAGUAACGCGUAAGGAACUUGCCCUGCAGUCAGGGAUAACAGACGGAAACGACUGAUAAGACCUGGUAAAGUCAGGCGGACUCAUGUCCAGCCUGAUGAAAAGAGAUGCUGCAGGAGAGCCUUGCGUCCUAUUAGCUUGUUGGUGGGGUAACGGCCCACCAAGGCGAUGAUAGGUAGCCGGCCUGAGAGGGUGGACGGCCACAAGGGGACUGAGAUACGGCGCUUACUCCUACGGGAGGCAGCAGUGGGGAAUAUUGGACAAUGGGGGCAACCCUGAUCCAGCAAUUCUGUGUGCACGAUGAAGGUUUUCGGAUUGUAAAGUGCUUUCAGCAGGGAAGAAAAAAAUGACGGUACCUGCAGAAGAAGCGACGGCUAAAUACGUG
rnacentral:rRNA from 1 species